GGAAGUGGAAGCACACCUGGUGGUGGCCGCGGUCUUCAAAACCGACGAGCCGUGCGUGAACCGUAGGGCUGGUGGGUUCGAUUCCCAUACACUUCCGCCA
rnacentral:tRNA from 3 species